UAGCUCAGUUGGUAGAGCAUGGUGUUUGCAAUGCCAGGGUUGUGGGUUCGGUUCCCAC
rfam:Salmo salar isolate Sally breed double haploid chromosome ssa11, whole genome shotgun sequence.